GACAGAGGGUGCAAACGUUGUUCGGAAUUACUGGGCGUAAAGCGAGUGUAGGCGGCAUGAAAAGUAGGGUGUGAAAGCCCUCGGCUCAACCGAGGAAUUGCGCUCUAAACUGUCGUGCUAGAGGAACCUAGAGGUGAGCAGAACUGAUGGUGGAGCGGUGAAAUGCGUUGAUAUCAUCAGGAAUACCGGAGGCGAAGGCGGCUCACUGGGGGUUUUCUGACGCUGAGGAACGAAAGCCAGGGGAGCGAACGGG
rnacentral:rRNA from 1 species